AUAGAAAGAUAUAUCUUUGGAUUUAAGAAGCACUCCUUAAACCUGAGCAGCAUUACAUGGUUGUGUCCCUUUCUUCAGCAGGACAAUAUAGAUGUGUGUGAGCCUCCACAAAAAAUACUCUGUGUGGAAAUCGACAAGGUGCCACUGAAGCCUAAACUGUGUAAGCAGAACCAUCAAGCCCCACAGCUCAUGUCCCAGCUCACCCUGAAGAUGGACAAUGUAGGUGUGAGCUGGUCAUCUACAGAAAAAAGGGAGCGCAUGGCGAGCAAAAUCAGAGAUCAACAACUGGGGCCAGGCUUAAAGCAUUUAUGUAGUAUAUUCAUAUGUUUAACGGAAUAUUUAAAUAUUUAGUAUUCAUGUGUAUUGUGUUUGAAUUGAUUUAGUAUGAUUGUAUGUAUAAUAAAAAAAUAAAAUC
rnacentral:lncRNA from 1 species